rnacentral:rRNA from 1 species
GAUGAACGCUGGCGGCGUGCCUAAUACAUGCAAGUCGAGCGAACAGACGAGGAGCUUGCUCCUUUGACGUUAGCGGCGGACGGGUGAGUAACACGUGGGUAACCUACCUAUAAGACUGGGAUAACUUCGGGAAACCGGAGCUAAUACCGGAUAAUAUUUCGAACCGCAUGGUUCGAUAGUGAAAGAUGGCUUUGCUAUCACUUAUAGAUGGACCUGCGCCGUAUUAGCUAGUUGGUAAGGUAACGGCUUACCAAGGCAACGAUACGUAGCCGACCUGAGAGGGUGAUCGGCCACACUGGAACUGAGACACGGUCCAGACUCCUACGGGAGGCAGCAGUAGGGAAUCGUCCGCAAUGGGCGAAAGCCUGACGGAGCAACGGCGCGUGAGUGAUGAAGGUCUUCGGAUCGUAAAACUCUGUUAUGAGGGAAGAACAAACGUGUAAGGAACUGUGCACGUAUUGACGGUACCUAAACAGAAAGCCACGGCUAACUACGUG